rnacentral:rRNA from 1 species
GACGGAUGCGGCAACCGUUAUCCGGAAUUAUUGGGCGUAAAGGGUACGUAGGCGGCUGGUCAAGCCCGGGGUCAAAGCCCACAGCUCAACUGUGGGAAGGCCCUGGAAACUGGCCGGCUAGAGUGAGGUAGGGGUUGCGGGAAUUCCCGGUGUAGCGGUGAAAUGCGUAGAGAUCGGGAAGAACACCUGCGGCGGAAGCGCGCAACUGGGCCUCAACUGACGCUGAGGUACGAAAGCUAGGGGAGCGAAUGGG